CCGCGGUAAUUCCAGCUCCAGUAGCGUAUCUCAAAGUUGUUGCGCUUAAAACGCUCGUAGUUGGAUCACAAGCUAUUCGUGGGUGCGUGACGACGUGUGUCAGUUUUGGAGAUUUGACUGUUGUGUCAUCACACAGUCGGGGAUUUGAAUGGUGCAGUGUUGCUGCGAUAAGCCAACGAAUAGUAAUUGCACGUAAGGAUGGAUGUCGGCCUUGAGUGAGCUGAUGUUUGUGUCUUACGGAGUGUGCCUUGAGUAAAUCAGAGUGCUUAAAGCAGGCUUUAUGCUUGAAUGUUAUAGCAUGGAACGAACAAUCGUGUAUAGUGUAUGUUGUAAAUGAUAAGUUGAACGUUGUUUAACAUCAUCAACAUAUGACACCGACCACCAAUAACGGAUGUUGGUUCCGUAUUGGGGUAUUGAUUAAGAGGAGCAGUUGGGGGCAUUGGUAUUUGGCAGCGAGAGGUGAAAU
rnacentral:rRNA from 1 species